AGUGCGACAGCUUCAGAGCUGAUGGAGAGACAGAGAGCACGCAACUGGAAAAAAUCAGACAUGGAAUUCAUGGAUUAACUGGUCACCAAUUGUUUCAGCAUUGCGUAUUGAAUAAUACAACCUUCUUCCACUGCCGUGAAAUGUCAACAGCUGCUCUCCCACUAGAUAGGGCGUAGCUUUCCACAGACGUGAAAACAUCGCUGUGGUCCAUCUCUAUUUACUGCAAGCAGAAGGGUCAAGACAGAAAACAUAGAGGCUUUUAGUAGGAGAGGGCAGACAUGCUUUAUCAUAUCAUUGAGCUACAAUUCUGGCCUACAGCAGAGAUACAGCCUGGUAUCCAUUAAGAGCAAGGCCUCUGGACCCAGGCUUCCUGGGCUUGCCUCCUGAUCCCAUCUUUUACUAAUUGUAUCGCCACAGAAAGAAAGGCUCCAGAUUUAUGUUUCCUGGUAUUGCUGCUAUUGGUAUUACUGUCCAUUAUUACUAUCAUCAUCAUCAUCACUAUUAUUAUUAUUAUUUUGCAAUUAAACUACAUUGGUGAAUCUUUAAUGUCCAUCUACUGAAAUAGCUACAGUGCAAGACGGAGAGAGGCCUUCAUGCAUGGUGUGCAUUUGCCACCUAGUGACCACACUGAGAUGUGAGCUCUCAGCUGCUUCAAUAUCAUUCCUGCCAAGAUCUUCGCCAUAGUGAUCAUGGACUCCUCCUCUGAAACUGUAAAUUCCAAGUUCCAGUAGGACGAGCAACAAGGAAAGCGGUAGCCUUGAAGAGCUCUGGGAUAUCACACACAAAGGAGUCCUGUCAGUGGGAUCCAUUCACCCACACUCCUGCGUAUACUGCCAUCACCGGUUUGAUUCAUUAUGCCAUACUAUCCAUACUUCAGCCUUGAGAAGGUUUUCCAGGAUGCCUUUGAAAUAUAUAUAUUGCCUGAUGAAGAACAGGAAGAUGAAGAGGAAGAAAUGGAAGAGGAGUUGGAAGACAUAGAGGAUGAGGAAGAAAUGGAGGAGGAGGAGGAAGAGGAAGAGGAGGAGGAAGAAGAGGAGGAAGAAGAGGAGGAAGAAGAGGAGGAAGAAGAGGAGGAAGAAGAGGAGGAUGACAACGAUGAUGAAGAGGAAGAGGAGGAAGAAACAGGAGAGGAGGAGGAAAUAGCAGAAGUUGAGGAGGAAGUGGAAGAGGUGGAAGUAGCAGGAGAUGUGGAGGAAGUGGAAGAGGAGGAAGAAGUUGUAGAGGAGGAGUACGAAGAAGAGGUUGAGGAGGAGGAAUGGGAAACCAUUGAUGGUGAUACUGUGUCUUUCACAUUAUCUGCCACAUUAAAAAUCUCUUUACCCUCCUGUCCAUCUCCACCUUCCACCUUUUCAUCCCAUCCUCUGAUCUGGGGCAAUCCCAGUGGGGUGGAUGGGUCUGUUGCCUGGAUGAUGAAUAUUUCCCAAAGUCAUCAGAGCUUGUACACCCUCAUGUCAUGCAGCAACUUGGAUGAAGAAUACAGCAGCCAGGAAGAAGAGAGUUUCACUUUCGCAUGGAGAAAACUCCAAAACCAAAAGGUUACUGAACUGGUGAAUCUUAUGAUCCUCAAAUAUAGAAUAAAGGAACCCAUCAACAAAGUAGAAAUGCUCAGAGUUGUCACAGAAGUCUUUGAGAAUGAAUUCCCCAUUAUCUUUGAGGAAGCUUCUAAGUGCUUGGAGAUGAUUUUUGGCAUUGAUAUAAAGGAAGGUGAUGCAGUAAGCAGCUCCUAUGUCCUGACCAACUCACUGGGCCUUACAUAUGAUGAUGUGAAAACUGACAGCCAGAGACUGCCCAGAAAUGGCUUCCUGAUAGUUAUUCUGGGUGUGAUAUUCAUAGAGGGAAACUGCGCCUCUGAAGAAAGCAUGUGGGAAUUUCUGAAUAUGAUGGGAAUAUAUGAUGGGAAGGAGCACUUCAUUUAUGGGGAGCCCAGGGAGUUCCUCACUGGAGAUUUAGUGUACCAAAAUUACCUGAUAUAUCAGCAGGUACCUGAGAGUUAUCCUCCACGCUAUCAGUUCUUAUGGGGUCCAAGAGCCUACUCUGAGACCACCAAGAUGAAAGUCCUUGAGUUUUUGGCCAAGCUUACAAGUAGGGCCCCAACUUAUUUCUCAUCCUUAUAUAGUGAAGCAUUCAGAGAUGAGGAAGGGAGAGCCGGAGUUGGCCCCUUGGCUUAGUACCAUGCUGAUAAUCAACAAGAGGCAGCCUAAUAUCUGGUUUGAAAGAGGACAGGCACAAUUUUCAGUAAAGGAGGAUCAAGUUUAGUCUGGGUAUGAUUAAAACAGUGUGGGGCAACUUUGUGUUCUGUUUUUUUUUCCUUUCGCGUACUUUCUCCAAUUGUAAUUGUAAUUAAAAUGUGUUACAUUAUCUUUGCAAUGUAAGUUUAUGAGUGAUCAUAAUUUCUUUCCUGUCUUACCAGCUUUUGAGAAAAUAGAGGGAACUAUUCAAUGGUUAAUCUUUGAGUUCCUUCAAUCUGUUUAGUCAACUCUAAAAUAUGUACCUAGAUUGAUUUGAUUAAUAAAACAGGAAAAUGGUAAUAAAUCCU
rnacentral:lncRNA from 1 species